rnacentral:rRNA from 1 species
UACGUAGGGGGCUAGCGUUGUCCUGAAUCAUUGGGCGUAAAGAGCGUGUAGGCGGUCCGGUAAGUCCGCUGUGAAAGUCGGGGGCUCAACCCUCGAAUGCCGGUGGAUACUGUCGGGCUAGAGUGCGGAAGAGGCGAGUGGAAUUCCUGGUGUAGCGGUGAAAUGCGCAGAUAUCAGGAGGAACACCUAUUGCGAAGGCAGCUCGCUGGGACGUAACUGACACUGAGGCACGAAAGCCAGGGGAGCAAACGGG